UUCUUGUUCAUUAGGAGGAAUUAAAAGUGGUAACAAGGUUUCGUUAGGGGACCCGGCGGAAGGAUCAUUAUGAAUUCUUCGGCUGGGUUGUUGGGGUUCCUCUUGGUCAUUUAGAGGAAGUAAAAGUCGUAACAAGGUUUCCGUAGGUGAACCUGCGGAAGGAUCAUUAUUGAUUGUGAAUCGUUGCCUUCAGUGCUGGCUCCGGCAAGUGCACGUUGGUGACUUUCAUCCAACACUCUUGUGAACCUUUGGCCUCUUGCUGGCCUCGGCUGGCAGAGGAUUUUUACACCCACUCGCAUGUAAUGAAAUUAUUGUCGUGCGCAAGCACUAAUGUACAACUUUCAACAACGGAUCUCUUGGCUCUCGCAUCGAUGAAGAACGCAGCGAAAUGCGAUAAGUAAUGUGAAUUGCAGAAUUCAGUGAAUCAUCGAAUCUUUGAACGCACCUUGCACCCUUUGGCAUUCCGAAGGGUAUGCUCGUUUGAGUGUCAUUGUACUCUCACACUUCUCAUCCUUUGGAUUUGGAGCGGUGGAUUUGGGUGUUGCUGCUUUCCGGUGGCUCACCUUGAAUGCAUUAGUGCAACUCUUGGUUGGACAUAGUACGGCGUGAUAAGUGUCUUCGCCGGCACCUCGCAAGAGGGUGGCUGAUCGAGAGCUCUGUGCUUUCAAACCGUCCUCGGACAAUGACUGACAACUUGACCUCAAAUCGAGUAGGACUACCCGCUGAACUUAAGCAUAUCAAUAAGCGGAGGAAUACUAAUCAAUAAACCAAUCCUUAAGGAAUACAUCUGGAUAUUGGGACCCCCAAUCCAAUGGGACUACCCCCUGAACUAAGCAUAUUAAUUAGCGGAAGAAAUUU
rnacentral:rRNA from 1 species